rnacentral:rRNA from 1 species
AAGUCGUAACAAGGUCUCCGUAGGUGAACCUGCGGAGGGAUCAUUACAGAGUGAAGGGCUUCUGGCCCGACCUCCAACCCAUUGUGAUAUAUACCUCUGUUGCCUCGGGGGCGACCCGGCCCUGGUGCCGGAGCCCCCGAUGGACCACAUUUAAACACUUGCAUCUAUGCGUCGGAUUAUAAAGUUUAAAUUAUUAAAACUUUCAACAACGGAUCUCUUGGUUCUGGCAUCGAUGAAGAACGCAGCGAAAUGCGAUAAGUAAUGUGAAUUGCAGAAUUCAGUGAAUCAUCGAGUUUUUGAACGCACACUGCGCCCCUUGGUAUUCCGGGGGGCAUGCCCGUUCGAGCGUCAUUACACCAAUCAAGCCUGGCUUGGUAUUGGGCCACGGGGGCGACCCGGGCCUCAAAGUCUUUCGGCUGGACGUCUCCAAUCUCAGCGUCGUGGUUAUUCAACUCGCUGUCGAGAGGGGGGUCCGCGCCGGUAAACUCUUUCACAGGUUGACCUCGGAUCGGGUAGGAAUACCCGCUGAACUUAA